rnacentral:rRNA from 1 species
CAGGUUUACCUGUGUGACUGCGUACCUUUUGUAUAAUGGGUCAGCGACUUAUAUUCUGUAGCAAGGUUAACCGAAUAGGGGAGCCGGAGGGAAACCGAGUCUUAAUUGGGCGUUAAGUUGCAGGGUAUAGACCCGAAACCCGGUGAUCUAGCCAUGGGCAGGUUGAAGGUUGGGUAACACUAACUGGAGGACCGAACCGACUAAUGUUGAAAAAUUAGCGGAUGACCUGUGGCUGGGGGUGAAAGGCCAAUCAAACCGGGAGAUAGCUGGUUCUCCCCGAAAGCUAUUUAGGUAGCGCCUCGUGAAUUCAUCUCCGGGGGUAGAGCACUGUUUCGGCUAGGGGGCCAUCCCGGCUUACCAACCCGAUGCAAACUGCGAAUACCGGAGAAUGUUAUCACGGGAGACACACGGCGGGUGCUAACGUCCGUCGUGAAGAGGGAAACAACCCAGACCGCCAGCUAAGGUCCCAAAGUCAUGGUUAAGUGGGAAACGAUGUGGGAAGGCCCAGACAGCCAGGAUGUUGGCUUAGAAGCAGCCAUCAUUUAAAGAAAGCGUAAUAGCUCACUGGUCGAGUCGGCCUGCGCGGAAGAUGUAACGGGGCUAAACCAUGCACCGAAGCUGCGGCAGCGAACGUAUCACUUAAAGCGAUUCAGCGGGUUACGAUUGACGGAGCGAAGCGACGUCAAAGCGUAUACAAAGUCGAGUCGGUUUAAGGAUACGUUCGUUGGGUAGGGGAGCGUUCUGUAAGCCUGUGAAGGUGUGUCG